rnacentral:rRNA from 1 species
GACGAAGGGUGCAAGCGUUAUCCGGAUUCAUUGGGCUUAAAGGGCGCGCAGGCGGUCUUAUAAGUCAGUGGUGAAAUCCUGUCGCUUAACGAUAGAAUUGCCAUUGAUACUGUAGGACUUGAGUACAGUUGCCGUUGGCGGAAUAUGACAUGUAGUGGUGAAAUACAUAGAUAUGUCAUAGAGCACCGAUUGCGAAGGCAGCUGACGGAGCUGUAACUGACACUGAGGCUCGAAAGUGUGGGGAUCAAACAGG